rnacentral:sRNA from 1 species
GAGUUAUCAUGGAAAUACCACUCAGUUCGGGUAAUGUGAACACUCCA